GGUUCGAUGGCGUAGUUGGUUAUCGCAUCUGUCUAACAUUCAACCUCAGAUUGUUACAUGCUACACAGAAGGUCCUCAGUUCGAGCCUGGGUCGAAUCA